ACAACAUUUUGACUGUCAGCCUAUCGAGCAAUAUCAACCGCUCGGUGGAAGAUCUUCCCUUUAUCAU
rnacentral:pre_miRNA from 1 species